GAUGAACGCUGGCGGCGUGCCUAAUACAUGCAAGUAGAACGCUGAAGGAAGGAGCUUGCUCUUUCCGGAUGAGUUGCGAACGGGUGAGUAACGCGUAGGUAACCUGCCUGGUAGCGGGGGAUAACUAUUGGAAACGAUAGCUAAUACCGCAUAACAGUAGAUGUUGCAUGAUAUCUACUUAAAAGGUGCAAUUGCACCACUACCAGAUGGACCUGCGUUGUAUUAGCUAGUUGGUGAGGUAACGGCUCACCAAGGCGACGAUACAUAGCCGACCUGAGAGGGUGAUCGGCCACACUGGGACUGAGACACGGCCCAGACUCCUACGGGAGGCAGCAGUAGGGAAUCUUCGGCAAUGGACGGAAGUCUGACCGAGCAACGCCGCGUGAGUGAAGAAGGUUUUCGGAUCGUAAAGCUCGGUUGUAAGAGAAGAACGAGUGUGAGAGUGGAAAGUUCACACUGUGACGGUAUCUGACCAGAAAGGGACGGCUAACUACGUG
rnacentral:rRNA from 1 species